rnacentral:rRNA from 1 species
AUUGAACGCUGGCGGCAGGCCUAACACAUGCAAGUCGAACGAGUGGCGGACGGGUGAGUAAUGUCUGGGAAACUGCCUGAUGGAGGGGGAUAACUACUGGAAACGGUAGCUAAUACCGCAUACCAUCGGAUGUGCCCAGAUGGGAUUAGCUAGUAGGUGGGGUAAAGGCUCACCUAGGCGACGAUCCCUAGCUGGUCUGAGAGGAUGACCAGCCACACUGGAACGGAGACACGGUCCAGACUCCUACGGGAGGCAGCAGUGGAGAAUAGUGCACAAUGGGCGCAAGCCUGAUCCAUCCCUGCCGCGUGUAUGAAGAAGGCCUUCGGGUUGUAAAGUACUUUCAGCGGUGAGUCGGUACCCGCAGAAGAAGCACCGGCUAACUCCGUGCCAGCAGCCGCGGUAAUAC